rnacentral:lncRNA from 1 species
GCACGUGUAUAUCGUGCUAAUUAGUAUAAAUACUUCUAAUAUAUAAGUGUACGAUGUGUAAAAUACAAGCUCGAAUCAAUGAACGGUGAUUAUAUUCAACUGAUAUUAUCAUCAUUGCAAGGCACAUCAUACAAAAAUAUUGUUAUCAAGUGAUUUCAAACGUAAUACUAUAACGACUUCAAAUAUACAAUUCUUAUAAUAUAUCAAUUAUUCAACUUGUUAAGAGUACUUUUUUUUAAUACGUCACAACACAUAAUUUAAAUGUCGGCACUAUAGUUGCAAAAUAUUUAAUGCCUUAAAGUUUUCGUCUUCUUUUUAAGGAAUUGUAGCCUCCACUUUUUUUUACAGAUGCAUACAUAUCGAGAAGUUAUCAUCGAAGGAGAGUAGUGUUCUAUAAUAGUUGUAGAGAAAUUCGAUCAACAUAUAUCUUCUUUAGGAUGGUUAGUACAUCAUUAUCAAGUUCAUAGUGUACACCUACAAAAGAAAUAGUAUUUAUUUGUUAUUCAUUGUUUAAAUAUUUUAUAGACAUGAAUAUGUACUCUUCGUCUUCUUUGACUCAUUCAAAAUUAUUAAUUCUGUCAUCUUUAAAUUUUGAAUUAUGAAAUACAACACAAUCACUUGUGAGAUAUUAACAAUAUGGUAGAAAAAAGAAAACAAUAUAAACCAAUAAUUAUAUGGUGCAAAAAAUAAAUGCAUAAAGAAAAGAUAACUUUGAAUAUGU